GAGGGUAUAGCUCAAGUGGUAGAGCGCCUGCUUAGCAUGCAUGAGGUCCUGGGUUCAAUCCCCAGUACCUCCA
rnacentral:tRNA from 1 species